rnacentral:rRNA from 1 species
GAUGAACGCUGGCGGCGUGCCUAAUACAUGCAAGUCGAGCGAACAGACGAGGAGCUUGCUCCUCUGACGUUAGCGGCGGACGGGUGAGUAACACGUGGAUAACCUACCUAUAAGACUGGGAUAACUUCGGGAAACCGGAGCUAAUACCGGAUAAUAUAUUGAACCGCAUUGUUCAAUAGUGAAAGACGGUUUUGCUGUCACUUAUAGAUGGAUCCGCGCCGCAUUAGCUAGUUGGUAAGGUAACGGCUUACCAAGGCAACGAUGCGUAGCCGACCUGAGAGGGUGAUCGGCCACACUGGAACUGUAACACGGUCCAGACUCCUACGGGAGGCAGCAGUAGGGAAUCUUCCGCAAUGGGCGAAAGCCUGACGGAGCAACGCCGCGUGAGUGAUGAAGGUCUUCGGAUCGUAAAACUCUGUUAUUAGGGAAGAACAAAUGUGUAAGUAACUAUGCACGUCUUGACGGUACCUAAUCAGAAAGCCACGGCUAACUACGUG